rnacentral:rRNA from 1 species
UACAGAGGGUGCGAGCGUUAAUCGGAAUUACUGGGCGUAAAGCGUACGUAGGCGGCUUUGUAAGUAAGAGGUGAAAGCCCGGAGCUCAACUCCGGAACUGCCUUUUAGACUGCAUCGCUUGAAUCCAGGGGAGGUGAGUGGAAUUCCGAGUGUAGAGGUGAAAUUCGUAGAUAUUCGGAAGAACACCAGUGGCGAAGGCGGCUCACUGGACUGGUAUUGACGCUGAGGUACGAAAGCGUGGGGAGCAAACAGG